CCUACGGGAGGCAGCAGUGAGGAAUAUUGGUCAAUGGACGAGAGUCUGAACCAGCCAAGUAGCGUGAAGGAUGACUGCCCUAUGGGUGGUAAACGUCUUUUAUAAAGGAAUAAAACGAGGCACGUGUGCCUUUUUGCAUGUACUUUAUGAAUAAGGAUAGGCUAACUCCGUGCCAGCAGCCGCGGUAAUACGGAGGAUCCGAGCGUUAUGCGGAUUUAGUGGGUUGAAAGGGAGCGUAGAUGGGUUGUUAAGGCCGUUGUGAAAGUUUGCGGCUCAACCGUAAAAUUGCAAUUGAUACUGGCAGUCUUGAGUACAGUUGAGGUAGGUGGAAUUCGUGGUGUAGCGGUGAAAUGCUUAGAUAUCACGAAGAACCCCGAUUGCGAAGGCAGCUUACUAAACUGUGACUGACAUUGAUGCUCGAAAGUGUGGGUAUCAAACAGGAUUAGAUACCCUUGUAGUC
rnacentral:rRNA from 1 species